GUGGGGAAUCUUCCGCAAUGGGCGAAAGCCUGACGGAGCAACGCCGCGUGAGUGAAGACGGCCUUCGGGUUGUAAAGCUCUGUUAUAUGGGACGAACGUAUCUAUGGCCAAUACCCAUAGAUAGUGACGGUACCGUAAGAGAAAGCCACGGCUAACUACGUGCCAGCAGCCGCGGUAAUACGUAGGUGGCAAGCGUUGUCCGGAAUUAUUGGGCGUAAAGGGCGCGCAGGCGGCCUGUCAAGUCUGUCUUAAAAGUGCGGGGCUCAACCCCGGGAUGGGACGGAAACUGGCAGGCUGGAGUGUCGGAGAGGAAAGCAGAAUGCCUAGUGUAGCGGUGAAAUGCGUAGAUAUUAGGAGGAAUACCAGUGGCGAAAGCGGCUUUCUGGACGACAACUGACGCUGAGGCGCGAAAGCCAGGGGAGCAAACGGGAUUAGAAACCCUAGUAGUCC
rnacentral:rRNA from 1 species